rnacentral:rRNA from 1 species
UACAGAGGUCCCAAGCGUUGUUCGGAUUCAUUGGGCGUAAAGGGUGCGUAGGUGGCGCCGUAAGUGGGGUGUGAAAUUUCGGAGCUUAACUCCGAAACUGCAUUCCAUACUGCGGUGCUUGAGGACUGGAGAGGAGACUGGAAUUCAUGGUGUAGCAGUGAAAUGCGUAGAGAUCAUGAGGAAGACCAGUGGCGAAGGCGGGUCUCUGGACAGUUCCUGACACUGGGGCACGAAGGCUAGGGGAGCGAACGGG